rnacentral:rRNA from 1 species
AGAGCGAACGCUGGCGGCAUGCUUAACACAUGCAAGUCUCACGGGCAGCAAUGUCAGUGGCGGACGGGUGAGUAACGCGUAGGUAUCUAUCCAUGGGUGGGGGAUAACGUCGGGAAACUGACGCUAAUACCGCAUGACAUCUGAGGAUCAAAGGCGCGAGUCGCCUGUGGAGGAGCCUGCGUACGAUUAGCUAGUUGGUGGGGUAAAGGCCUACCAAGGCGACGAUCGUUAGCUGGUCUGAGAGGAUGAUCAGCCACACUGGGACUGAGACACGGCCCAGACUCCUACGGGAGGCAGCAGUGGGGAAUAUUGGACAAUGGGCGAAAGCCUGAUCCAGCAAUGCCGCGUGUGUGAAGAAGGUCUUCGGAUUGUAAAGCACUUUCGGCGGGACGAUGAUGACGGUACCCGCAGAAGAAGCCCCGGCUAACUUCGCGCCAGCAGCCGCGGUAA